rnacentral:rRNA from 1 species
GACGUAGGGCGCGAGCGUUGUCCGGAAUUAUUGGGCGUAAAGAGCUCGUAGGCGGUCUGUCGCGUCUGCUGUGAAAACUCGGGGCUUAACCCCGGGCCUGCAGUGGGUACGGGCAGACUAGAGUGCGGUAGGGGAGACUGGAAUUCCUGGUGUAGCGGUGAAAUGCGCAGAUAUCAGGAGGAACACCGGUGGCGAAGGCGGG